UCAGCCCAAGACAGCUGGUUCCUACUCAGGUUCCUACUCAGGUUAGCUGUUUAAUUUUGGUGUGUUCAAGCCCCUGAUGGAUUCUCUCUGCACAGGUCCCAUCAGUGGUACAGCUGUAGGUGCCACCAGCCCUGGUGACAAUGCCUCCACAAGACAGCAGCUGCCAGCACAAGGGAUGGCAUGAAAAAGAUACCUUGGGUUGUUGCUUGUGAAGAUCAAGAAAAGCAAUUGCCAAAGGUCAGCAGCAUAUCACUUCUGGUGGGACUUCUGCAAGAAGAUGUGGCCGCAGAGAAAGGAAAAGAAAUAAAUGGAGAAUUUUCACAGAGGAGGCAUAGAUGGAGUCACACAUACAUGAAUACAUAUGUGCUAAUGCAGAAAAAGAUGGGCUGUAGAGUAACCUCUUUCACCCAGGUAAAGCAAAACAACAGCGGCAAAUGUUGUGCGGAGCAUUCAUUUUCUGUCCAAAUGGUUUCGAUUCAGCAUUAUUUCAUCAAAAACCUGCAGCGUUCCUGAUGCGUAACCUGGGAAGCCCUUUGAAGACAAGACGUUUGGCCACUAGCAAGUAUCUCUCCUUUGCUGCUCUUUCAGAAAAAGGCAUCAAGGUGUGGAGCAAUCUUUGUCAGUGAUGGUGUGUGCAGUGUGUGACUGCACAGGAACCGACUCCUCAGGCUUCCUGAAGGAACUGGAAUUAAAUUAGACUCUUCUCAGCCGGACCAGUUCUUUCACCCGGACCAGUUCUUUCACCCAGUUCAAGAUACAACUAUGGGCACAUCACAGAAAAAGUUGUAUGGAUGUGGAGACAAACAGCAGAAGUCAGGAUGCCUCACAUUGGCUGUCACGGCUGACAAAAUCUGGAAGAAAAAGGAUCGGAGGAAGCAGUGGAAGGGACAGGGCACAAGAAAGAAAAGGAAAGAAACGCGGACGCUCGCACACAACUUCUUACAAUGGCUCCAGCAUGCCCUUCCAUUGGCAGGAAUCCUUUUGAUCAAAUCCUUGCCCUGGGCUGGAAGUGUUUUAAUGAGCAUACAGACAUCAUCUUUUUUUCCUAGGUCUAUUUUGUGUUCUUAAGGAUAGAUAAGUAAAGCGUGCACUUAAAUGAUCCUGUGAGUGCUUCUUAACUGUGCUCUAGAGGAAAGGCGUAGUGCUUGAAUGUGGAGGCUGAACAGCGCCAGCCUGAAGGACAAGGAAAAUAGCAGAGGAGGAAACUUGAGCUGAACUGAACUUGUUUUCUUUAACAUCUUAUUUUCUUUUGGAGAAGGAAUAAGCAGCAUGAAACACCUAGACAUCUGUUGGAUGAGGGGUGUUUUAUGGAGACUCCCAUGUCUUGCUGCUUUUCCCCACAGAAUAUUCUGAAUUGAUAGGGACCCACAAGUAUCGUAGACUCAUAGAAUGGUUGAGUUGGAAGGGACCUUAAUGAUCAGUGAGCUCCAACUACCCUGCUGCAGGCUGGGUGCUCCCCACCAGCUCAGGCUGCCUGGAGCCCUAUUCGUGACCUUGGGCACCUCCAGGGAUGGAGCACCCCCACUCUCUGGGCAGCAGAUGUAAGAAUUCUCAGAGGUGCAGUGGGAUUUCUGUCUUUGCAUGCUGGUAGGUGCCAGCCUGUGAGAGGCCCAGGGCUGAAGGAUGUAGAAGCAGUGCCCACCAGUCCCUGCUCUCUCCACCAAAUGUGGGGCAGGUGUAGGACCCCAAAGAAGCUAUCCUUUAGUAGCAGCCCAAAUGUUGCUGAUUUGUGGAAAUGAGCCUGGGCUGCCAACCUUGCUCUUCUAGGAGCCCUGAAAGACUUUGAAUAUUAAAAAAUAAAGGUUGUACUUGAUAAAAGGCAAAUGUUUAGUUUGACACAUCUCAUUAUUCUAAGGAAUUUGCAGGAAAAGACAAACUUUGUUAGCCUGCCACUAAGUGCUAACAGUUUCUGGAAGUCAAUAAAGUGACCUGCUUGCCUUGGAAGGAAACAGUUAGCACAGACUUCCAAUUUCCCAGCUAAGUUAUGAAGACGGGAUGCAGGAAGACGGAAGCCAAGAUGUCAGUGCAGAAGACACAGAGCCUUCCCCAGACUAGGAUGGCUAGAGUUGAAAGAACAUCAUGCCCUGACAGCAGCUGCCAAAAUCAAACCCUUUUUCAAUGUUUUUUUGAUGUGAAUCACAGGAGGUUUCACUACUGGGAUUUGCAUCCAAACAGGAAACCUGCAGAUUUCUUCAAAUCCUGGCGACAAAGGUACUGGUAGUGCCCUGAGCUGAUUGUUGCAGUGGUGUUAAUGAUGCUCUUUCAGUAGCUGAGUGCUGAUACUCCAUGACUUUGGCUCAGACAACAGAGAUAGCUGCCAUGAAUUGCCUUCUGGUAGUGCCCGUUCCUCUCAGUUGAUUACAAGAGGAUCCCCAAAUGCUAGUGACCAGAAGCCAUUAUUUCCAUCGGACACAAUGGCAACCGGAAACAUUACCCUCACAAUGCUGAAGAAUGUAAAUGCAUUAUCUCAUGACCUCCAAGGAUGUGAACAGGUCUUGAGCUGCCUGGAGAACAUGCUGUGGCACCCAACAUGGCCACACAGGAGGUCUCUGCCUGCCUCUGCUGUCCCUGAUGCCGAAGGAGGACAGGCUGUGCCGGUCAGUGGGUGCUGUUGGGUGGGUGGCCAUGGCUGUGCCAGUGGGGGUGUCUUACUCCUUUGGGGAUGAACAUGGCGGGCAAAUGUGUUUAAAAAUCUGAAUGAAAGUCUACUGAAGUACACCACUCCCUCAACUCAAUGAGUCUUGUUUUCUUAAACUGCCCACUGACAUGCCAGCUACUGGGGCUGUUAGAAAUGCCUUCUCCUUUCUAGGAACACAGAAAUAAGUGUCUCCGUUAUGAUACCUGUAUGUAAAAAUACACCCACACAUUGAGUCCCUCUACGGUUCUAAAUUGCAGAUAAGGUGAGCAGUACAAGGGCAUGAAGCAGCUGCUGGAGUGUGGCUGUGUGCAGGCACCAGUGCACCCUGCCGAGGGCCCCCACUGCUUCCUUAAGCUGAGCAGUACCGUCACUUGGCAUGAUUCUGCUUAGGAAGGCAUGAUUAGAAAGCUAGCCUUUAAAGAGAAAAGUAAGCUUCUGAAAUGUGAUUGUCAUCAUGGAGAUGGUCUAUUUCUUGUGACAUAUUCCAAUCUAGUGCUUUACCUAGCAGUCAGCAACCCUGCCUGCAAGCAGAGGGGGUGGAACUGGAUGAUCAUCUGUUACAUGAUUCUAUGAUUUUUAACCUGUAUUUCUGCACAGAGGAGGCUGAAAACAUUGGAAAAAAAACAACAACAACAAAAACACACACACAAAAAAACCCCACAACAGCCAUUUUGAUCAUAGCUAGAUGCAUGAACAAGAAGAACUAUUACCACCAUGAUAGCUGGAUAGUUUGGCUUAGUCAGGCCUCCAGUGUGCUGAGGCUGAAUGGAAAGAUGCUGGAAACCCCCAAAGAAAGAGCCCUGCUUGUAAGCAAUAUGAUAAUAGAAUAUCUGCGUACACAAAUCUGGCAUUAUUUAAUAGUGCAAAGAUUAAAUCUAUCCUGGUUGUUUGAAAUGAUAGGCACAGUUUAUUUGUGUGUCACACAGUUUCACUUUGGUUUUUAAGGACAAUUAUGUGAUCGUGACAAAGCCAAGUGACUCCCAGGGAUCAUCCACAAUGAUGAUGAGAGCCGGUGGGGAACACCAUGGAGGAGAAUGAAACAAUUACGAGCGUCUUUUAAAGGAAACUGUGAGAGAGAGGUGGGCAGGAAUUCGACACAGGGAAGGACAGGAAGCAGGAGUGUGGGGUAUCCAUGGAAAUAAGGCAAUCUUUUCUGCUGCUGUUGGGCUUGGGGGUAUUUUUGACACCCACAUGGAAGAACAAUGCAGUAUGAGGAUGGCGGUGGCUCAGAAGCAAGCACUUUGCCAAAAACAUUGUGUCGGUACAAUCGGCUAUCCAGGCCAAUGGAGACGGGUUUCAUAAGGGUCCCCUCUUGUCCUGAAACAUCUUAUUCUCCUUGCUAAAUGGCAUUUAAAAGCACCAAAUAUUUUAUUAAAAAUGCUUUUCAGGGCUAAACAACGUUAAAAGCACUUUCUAUAGCUUGCAUUGCUAUUUAGGAGAGCAUGUUAUUUCUUUUUAAUUUGCUCACUCAUUCCUGAAUAACUUUUCAUAGGACUCCAGACGCUGCAGUGUGACAGCUAAACCAAGGAGCAUCGGAUGCAAUGGAAUUGCUCUACAAGCAACCUUGCCAAAGGCCCUUUUGCUGCACAAAGCUGGCUCUAUCUUUGUAUAUUGAGGGAACUAAAUCAAUGUUAAAUGCUUGGCUCUUUUCACAGGACAAUGACCAGGACCUAAGCUGCGUCCUUCCUAUUUGAUUGACACUUGAAACGUUGAGUUGGAAUCAGCCAGAGGCACUGCUACAAGCUUGAAGCCUCUGCUGGGGAUAACAACUGGUGACAUCUGCAGAAAGGCCGACAAAAGGCAGUUGAAAGCCGUGUUUGUUGCUUUCCCCUCUCAGAUCUCCUCUCUUUCAUGGAGCUCCUUACUUGCUUUAAUAUUAUGAUUCAGCACCUGGCUCUUUUGAACCUUGCUUUAAACUUCAAAAGGCGAGGUGGUAUUAACAAACAUGAAACGAAAAAGUGGCAGUAGUUUGAUUUACUGUUGUCGUCUUAUCAAGGGGGUUUUUUGUCACCAGCUGCCACUUUCUGUCAUCUUUGGAACCAUUAUCAUUUCUCUAAAAUCUAAAAGACUCCACUUAAUAACAGCUUUGAAUACAGGCAGGAUCAGUAACGUAUACAGUUCUGGGAUGACAGGGCCGUCAAAUGAAAAGAAAGAUGUUGCCAAAAAAAAAAAAAAAAUCCUUAAAAAAAAAAAAGCAAUAAAACAAAUAAAAGCCAUAGUACUUCUAAGUGACCUUGAUUUCAGAAUUAAACAAAUCAAGCACAAUUCCAUUGUUCUUUCUGGAUUAAUUCUGCACUUUCUUUGCAGUGUUUCUUUUUUGUUCUCAGGACUAAGGGAAAACAAAGCCAAGGCUUUCAGAAAACUGCUCGGCACACAACAAGCACUCGGUAUCACAUGAGUGCUGUAAGCUUCUCACUGUAAAACCGCCAGCGAUAAUUACUGGUCUUGUUUCCCCACCAUCCCAGCACAGCAUCUCACAUUCAGGCUGAGCUGCCUUGCUAGUCAAAAAUAUGCUCAACUCUCCUCUUAUAGUGCUGCUCCAUGCUUUCCUGCAGACCUUCCCAACAUGGUUGUGUUGGUCUUUGGCUGCCAAGGCAGAACCAAGUGCCUGGUCAAGUUUGCCCAUUGCAGCUGCUCACAUUAAGCCACAGGCAGUCAAAUAAACACAAUUUUCUAAAGUGCAAACCUACUGCACUUUCACACUUGUCGCCUUGCCAUUCUUUACGGGAAACUCACUCUGAUCCCUUUGUUUUAUAAUGGUAUGCACAAUUAACUCAUCUGAAGGUAGAAAUUUCUCCCACUGCCUUCUAAACUCAUGGAUAAAUGAUGGACAAGCCAUCACAAGCAGUGACUCUUAAUUUGCGCAGAUUGGAACCUGCACUUCUGUGCAUCUUAAUAGUUACUUCCACUUGUGCAAAAAUAGUGAAACCAACUGCAAAAACCAAAGAAUCCCCUCCACUCUCCCCAUUGAUGUGUCCUCCCUCCCCUUAGUUAUGUGUAAAUCCAGGCAGUGGGAUCCAACACAUGGUCUCCCAUUGGCCUCUUUCAGACCUGUUCAACCACAGGAAUCUGGGGGAGAUUUAUGCCAGAACAUCUUCCUAAAACAGUGAUGGAAACAACAAAAUGAAAAUAUUCAUAGAAGUGAAAGUGCUGAUGUCUUGACCAGUGAAAACACAGGAUUGCAAGACUCCAAAGUUGGUUGAUUUUUUAUGGACUGGGAUGCGACAAAACUCAUGAAAUUGAGAUGGAGAUUGCUAAAAAUACCUAUUAUCCUCUGACAGAAGCACUCACUGUAUAACGAUAACGAGGGUUUUUCACAGAGCAUGUACAGAUUUGAAAGUUUAGUCAUUUUAACAAGUGUUAAUUACUGCAUGCUAACCAGCAGAAGUGUGUGGGGGAGAUGUUUUAUAUUUAUUUGUUCCAGACUUGGAACAUAUUAGAAAGUAGGCUCCCUUCCAGGUUACUGUGGUAUGAAUGAAUACGUUACCCAACUACAAAUGAAAAAUACUGCAAGAAGAAAUAAGGACUUUUCCCCAGCAUAUUUCUUUGAAGAGAAGACCGAGAAUAUGUUUAGUCUAUUACAUCAAGUGGAAAUCUUAGCCUGACCCUACUAAAAGUGCGUGUAGCACACAGAUACCAGAGCAGUGUGUCUGUGGGAGGUACUUUUAGGUUUAUCCAUGAAAAAAUGAGAUAUUCUGAAAGAAAGAACAUACAUGGGAAAUUAUCGGUGCAGUUGGAUCAGUCUCCCUGCAUGCUUUAGUAUGAUGCUGGAGAAGAGGAG
ensembl:lncRNA